rnacentral:lncRNA from 1 species
CUGAGUACAAUAGGUUACAAAUAGUCCAAAUAUACACUUAACCAUAUAUUAAUUGAUUACAUCCUAACUUAAUAAAAGCUGUUGCAAUUGAUAAACCACUGCCCCAAGAGACAAAGCCAGGGACCGUGGACAUUCCUUGGAGCUGAUACGCCUCAAACUUGUUUCGUGAAGCUUCACGCACCACAUCCCAUCCCAUCAAAAUCACUUCAAAUUGUAACCUGCAGGGAUAAAAAUAGCUUAAUUAAAAAACCCUUUUCAUAAGCACUUAAAGAACUGAAAAUAAUUAAUGAGUU